AAAAGCCAAACCAAGAUGUAGUUCCAAAAUUGUAUGUUCUUUACGAGCGGCUCUUGCUGCCCUUCUGAGGUCAGAUCAGUCUGUUUUGCAAAACGGAAACCGAGCUAAUGCUGUGUAUCAGCUCAGGCAGAAAGCCAUCGGAAAAAGCAAACUCUCGAAGCCAGUAGGAACACUCAUGCAGGUCUGAAGAUGAGGAUGUGAGAUUCAGAGUGAUGAAGCAAUUUGCCUGCAACCACACAGCUAGGGAGUCUCAGAGUCACGGAUUUAUAAUCUGUCCAACUGCAAAUCCGGAGAUCUUUUUUGCUCUGGUCCUGUGACUACUAAGCAAUGUAUCAGGACUAAGGCUGGACCUUCUAGCUCCAAGUCCAGUUCUCUGUCCAUUAUGGCUCAGCAGGGAACGAAGCCAAUUUGUAGGGGAUGAAGAAAGCAAAGUGAAUGAAGAGAUUUUCAUAAGAAGGGUUUUCCCCAUUCAUGUGCACGGGAGCUUUGGUGUAAGUACCAAGAAAGCUGAGGAGGAGGAGACAGGAGUGGACUGGUAAGAAGACUGGUGAGUGGCAAGUGGGAAGUCCAUGUUCAGGUGUCUUGAACUGGUUUUGAGCCCCUCUGAGGGAAGGAUGCUACCGGCAGAAAUCUGAUGCAAUGACUUCAGCUGUAAGGCCCAGCUGAAAAAGUGGUAGAGAGCCCCCUUCCCUGCCUCUGCCCUGGUUCCAGGACCAUCCCCUCAAGGGUUGAAAACUUUGGGAGCAACUGGAAGUAACAAUUUCAACUUAGACAUGGCCAAUGUCACGAUAGCCGCAGCAAAUGUGAAGUCUGUCCUGGCAACUUACUAAGAGGCAGUCAGCAUGGGGCCCAAGCAUACAGUUCUGUGGGUUUGUUUGUGCUGUCUCUCUGGGGGCUGUGUGCGUGCGUGCGUGUAUGCACGUGUGCUGAGACAGGAUAGUCCACUUCCUGACGGGAGAAAUCUGCAAAGUAUCAGCACAGGACCUGGCACAGUCUGCAGACAGUAAGUGAGCAUCUCUCCACGGCCUUCCCCAGCCUCCCCUCUCCACCCUUUGUAAGAUUACACGUCUAUUAUAUCUGUUUUUCCUCCUGAUUGCCUCAUCAGUCCCUGGCUGCAAGCAACAGACAUGAGCAGUGGGUUUUCGAUGGUAAAUGAAGUGGGGCUCGUUUAAGUAAUUGGUCUCAAUCAGAGGCUUUACAGUAGAUGGGCUAAUGUAUAUGUCUGGCUCUCCCCAUUUCAUACUGAAGCAUUGUAUUUGCAUUUAAGGGGGUGGGGUAAGAGAGAGUCAGUGUCUGGCUUAUUGGAGUAGAAAUUAAAGAACUUUUCUCAAAAAAGAAAUUCAGCAUUGUAAGUCACGCUGGCCAAAUUGGGGUGGUCCUUUGGGAAAUCCAUCUUGGAAUUUGGCUACAAUGAAACCCAGAAUUAGUUUUGAACCUGAGCAAAUUCUCCAGGUUUUGUCCAUGGAUGGUCCUCCUCUCUGCAAUGCCUUCAUUCACAGCUCAGUGCAGGGUAGCCCACUCCUCUGUUCUUAGGGUCAGACUACUGGUUUGGCAGCCUGUCAGUCACUCCACUGGCAAUUUCUGUGAACUCCUGGCAGGCAGAGCUGUAACUGGCCCAGAGGGUGUGUACACUAGAUGUGUGGGAAUUAGUGAACGGAUGGCUGUUUCUGCCCCUCGUGCAUGCAGUGAGAAAGCAUGGUGU